CUUUUUUUUACAACAAUCCAUAUUAUAAUUGUCAAGUGUGAUCAGAAAUUUAAAAUGAAUUUAAAUAUCAUAAUAAUAGCUCUAUUUUCGAUGGUUCUGGGAGUUUUUGGGAACAAUGAGGUGGCUCAAAAUCAAAGUGACGUGAAGCGAGUUAACAUUCCCGUUGCUUGUCUUGUGGAAGCAGUGGGCACAUUUGGAGUGUAACUGCAAAAACAGCAAGAACUGCAAAAACAGCAAGAAUCGCAUGACCAAGCCCUAUUAAAGUUACAAAGUAGCAAAGUUAUCCGCUGUGCGGGUGACUUCGCUUGUAAUGUGAUUAAGUGUUUCA